rnacentral:rRNA from 1 species
UAAUUUGAGAGUUUGAUCCUGGCUCAGGACGAACGCUGGCGGCGUGCCUAAUACAUGCAAGUCGAACGAGCUCUGGUAUUGAUUGGUGCUUGCAUCAUGAUUUACAUUUGAGUGAGUGGCGAACUGGUGAGUAACACGUGGGAAACCUGCCCAGAAGCGGGGGAUAACACCUGGAAACAGAUG